rnacentral:rRNA from 1 species
GACGAACGUUGGCGGCGUGCUUAAUACAUGCAAGUCAACUGAAGCAGUGGUAGCAAUAUCGCUGUGGAGGUGGCGCACGGGUGAGUAACACGUAGGUAAUCUGCCUUCAGGUCUGGCAUAACUCCGGGAAACCGGGGCUAAUAGCAGAUGAUGCAGCGGCUCGACAUCGAGACAGUUGUUAAAGCUAUGGCGCCUGAAGAUGAGCCUGCGUCUGAUUAGCUAGUUGGCGGGGUAACGGCCCACCAAGGCAACGAUCAGUAGCUGGUCUGAGAGGAUGAUCAGCCACACUGGAACUGAGACACGGUCCAGACUACUACGGGAGGCAGCAGUAAGGAAUAUUGCUCAAUGGGAGAAAUCCUGAAGCAGCAACGCCGCGUGAGGGACGAAGGGCUUUUGCUUGUAAACCUCUGUAGUGAGAGAAAAAAAUCCCAAUCUUUGGGACAUGAUGGUAGCUCAAAAGUAAGCCCCGGCUAACUACGUG